rnacentral:rRNA from 1 species
GACGAAGGUGGCGAGCGUUGUUCGGAAUCACUGGGCAUAAAGGGCGCGUAGGCGGUCCUUUAAGUCGGAUGUGAAAGCCCCCGGCCCAACCGGGGAACUGCGUCCGAUACUGAGGGACUUGAGGGUCGGAGAGGUGCAUGGAAUUCCUGGUGGAGCGGUGAAAUGCGUUGAUAUCAGGAGGAACACCGGAGGCGAAGGCGAUGCACUGGCCGAUCUCUGACGCUGAGGCGCGAAAGCCAGGGGAGCAAACGGG